UCCUCUGUGCGCCGAUUGGUCCGACUCUGAUCCUCCUCGGCCCGGUUCGGCUGUUCGUCUGCGCCGUGCCGGGAGCCCGCCCGCAGCAAGCCUCUCGAGCUGGCGGGGCACGUGCCCCUCCUGGCACCCCGCUGGCCGGCUGCACGUGCAGCCCCAUGCACCCCUACGCCUCGCCCCUGCUUGGAAGGGAGAAGGAAGGCGUAAGAAAUCAGUGUCAGGAGCUGGAAGCUGAUCUAGGAGCACGGCUCAUCUUUUAGGAGGACGUUGCCCGCGACUCCAGACAAGAAUCGUGCAUCUCUAUACAGCAGCCCGCAAUGGCUGGCGUUGCAUCCACCAGCGAGACCUGACAGCAGAGCGGUGUUGGGGGGACCCAGCUCUUCAACCAAGUACCAGGACGAGCUCAUGCGGCGGUUGGAAACGUGCAGCAGAGGGGUGAACAAGCCAGAAUGACCUGGACCAAAGGCAGGAGGU